rnacentral:rRNA from 1 species
UACGUAGGGACCAAGCGUUGUUCGGAUUUACUGGGCGUAAAGGGCGCGUAGGCGGCAUGACAAGUCACUUGUGAAAUCUCCGGGCUUAACUCGGAACGGCCAAGUGAUACUGUCACGCUAGAGUGCAGAAAGGGCAAUCAGAAUUCUUGGUGUAGCGGUGAAAUGCGUAGAUAUCAAGAGGAACACCUGAGGCGAAGGCGGGUUGCUAGGCUGACACUGACGCUGAGGCGCGAAAGCUAGGGUAGCAAACGGG